rnacentral:misc_RNA from 1 species
GAUGAAGAACGUAGCGAAAUGCGAUAAGUAAUGUGAAUUGCAGAAUUCAGUGAAUCAUCGAAUAUUUGAACGCACAUUGCGCCCGCCAGUAUUCUGGCGGGCAUGCCUGUUCGAGCGUCAUUUCAACCAUCAAGCCCCAGGCUUGUGUUGGGGACCUGCGGCUGCCGCAGGCCCUGAAAACCAGUGGCGGGCUCGCUGUCACACCGGGCGUAGUAGAUUUUAUCUCGAUCAGGGCGUGCUGCGGGUUCCGGCCGUUAAAAAGCCUUUUUUACCCAAGGUUGACCUCGGAUCAGGUAGGAAGACCCGCUGAACUUAAGCAUAUCAAUAAGCGGAGGA